AUGACUCAGGAACCUUUGUAUCCUGCAGGCCACCCUAAGAGAAUCGAGCAGGAUUCUCAGAGAAAUAAUUUAGAGGCACCUAGUUCUUCUAAAAAGAAGAAAAAGAAGAAGGAUAGGACUUUACAUGCUUCUAGUGAACCUAUUGUAGACACACCUGAGAAUCCCAAUGAUAUUUCUAUUUCUGAUGCUGAAACUCAAUCAGGUGAUGAACAUGAACCUAGUGAUAAUGUUAAUGAUAAUGUUCAUGUUGAUGCUCAACCUAACAAAAACAAUGAUGUAGAAAUUGAACCUGUUGUUGAUCUUGAUAACCCACAAUCAAGGAAUCAAUGUUAUGAUAAGAGAGAUUUUGUUGCUAGGAAGCACGAUAGAGAAAGAGAACCAUGGGUUCAGAAACCCAUGCCCUUUUCUCCUAAAUCAUCCAAAACAAAGGAUGAUGAGGAUUUUGAGUGCUUUGCUGAAAUGAUUAGACCUAUUUUCGUACGUAUGCGCUUAACUGAUAUGCUCAAAGUAAAUCCUUAUGCUAAGUAUAUGAAGGAUAUCAUUACAAAUAAAAGAAAGAUACCAGAAGCUGAAAUUUCCACCAUGCUUGCUAAUUACACUUUUAAGGGUGGAAUACCAAAGAAACUUGAAGAUCUGGGUGUGCCAACUAUACCAUGCUCCAUUAAAAGAAAUUAUGUUAGAACUGCUUUAUGUGAUAUUGGAGCCGGUGUUAGUGUUAUGCCUCUCUCUUUAUAUUGUAGACUUGAAUUGAAUAAGUUGACACCUACUGAAAUAUCUUUGCAAAUGGCCGAUAAAUCGACUGCUAUACAUGUCGGUAUUUGCGAGGACGUGCCUGUUGUGGUUGCAAAUGUCACUAUCUUAACGGACUUUGUUAUUCUUGAUAUUCCCGAGGACGAUAGUAUGUCUAUUAUCCUUGGUAUACCUUUUCUUAAUACUGCAGGGGCUGUUAUUGAUUGCAACAAAGAAAACGUCACUUUUCAUGUUAAUAGUAAUGAGCAUACGGUACACUUUCCGAGGAAACAAUCUCAAGUUCAUAGCAUCAAUUCUAUUGGACAAGUUCCAAUUAUUAUUAUUGGAGGUUUUGAAUUUCCUCUCCCUACUGUCAAGAAAAAGUAUGAUAUUCUUAUUGUUGGGGAUUUUCAUAUCCCCUUUGAGGUAACUUAG
rnacentral:rRNA from 1 species